UCACAACCCUCUUUCUCCAAAAUUUCUGAUGUUCCACAUCUCCUAGGGCGUGUACAAGGGUUGGAGAAAUUUCAGCGUUCAUGUCCGAAUUUAAGCAUACAAAUAUUGAGAACUAAUCAAAAUGCAAAUUACGAAAAGAGGACUAGCAGAGUAGCUAGCUAGCGCCGCCUGCAAGAACAAAUCUUCGAUCCGUCCCAUUCAAAUUCAGGCAGGCGGUCAAGAGGCUUCCUGGAACUCCACCACCACCACGGCUUUUUCCUCCUUGCCGCCCGCGUCGGCGCCGCGGAGCAGCCGCCGCACCGCGGCGAUGAGCCGCUCGGCCGCGGCCGGCGUCCGGCGCCCGCCGAGCGCGUGGCAGAAGGCGGCGUGCCCCGCGAUCGCUGCCUCGAGCUCCAGCACCGAGCCGCCCCCGGCGGCGACCUCCUCGCCCACGGCGUCGCCGCAGAGCCCGCACAGCCAGCGCCCGCCGUACCGCGCGCGCACGCCGGCCGCGUACGCCGGCGUGCACUCCUCCCUGAGCCCGCAGCAGGCGCACACCUCCCACUCCUCCGCCUCGGCCACGGCCACGACGGCCGGCGCCACCUCCUGCUCGGCCGCCACGGACAUCGGGGAGAAGUCCAGAGAGAGAUUCCGCCGCCGCAGUACGGCUGAAGGCAAGGGAAUAAGAACUUCUCUUCCACGAAUUAUUCGAAUCCGUCAAGGCAAGGGCGGCGGCGAGGAGGUGUUACUCGGCGGUGGUGAGGGCAUGGGGGAGGGGCGGUGGAUGGAGCGGCGGCUCGUCCAUGGUGGAGGUCUGGAGGAGGUGGAGAGCAGGGCAGCGGAGCUGCGAUUG
rnacentral:lncRNA from 1 species